UGUGUGUCAGGAGAGCUAGCUGCAGCCUGCACUGCACGAGGGAGAGCUCUGCUGCAGCUCUGCAUUCACUGAAACCUGUCCUGCACUGCCAUGGUCACGGUCAUUCAAAGUUGGCGUGUGUCGGAAACAACCCCCUUUUCAGGCUCUGAAUUGUGUGUGCCCAUAAUGCAGCCUCCCAUCAGCUCUCAGGAGCCACGAGCGUGCCACUGUAAGAAGGGGGUGUGUGUGUGUUUCUCUGUUUAUUCUUGACGUCACAGCAGUCCGACAGCAGAACCUUCCACUGUGCUGAGCGCGUGCUCCGAGCACAUGGAAACUCAUCUCCUGCCUUAACGUUGGGGAUUUAUCAUAUCCACGCACCUUAUCUUUUUCUCCAAUGGAUUAUAGGAUGCACCUAUGGCCGGGGGACCCGGGCAUCUCUGGGAUUAUCUUGAAUGAAGACUCUUGUGGUGGAAUUGCUGGAUCUAUGUGUGGAUUUACAAGAAUUUUCAUCUGCGAAUGGGGAUUUUAUUUUGGGAAGCCCAAAGAAAAGGAUUAUUGGCAUAACAUGAAUAAAAGCUGCAGAAGGGCCAUGGUGUUCCUGUUGUUAAGGAGCCCUCCCUAUGGAUAAUAUCUGGAAGAAGCUGGAAAAGAAGUCUGUUGGCCACCUGUCCUCCCCAGACCAUGUAGCUGAGAGGAGAAUGUUCCAAAAAAAUCCAUUGGUUUAAAUCCAAGGCUUCUCAAGGCUUGUCUCAGACCACCAUGGAGCAUGGACAAGAUCAACGCAAUAAGAAGGAUAAUUAUUAAAAGACUGGAUGAGAAGAUGAACGUUUAUGGACUAUUGCAGUUGAUUUUCUGCCCAAAUUGGACUUGUACAGAUUAAGUCUCCUGAAAGGAAUCACUUUCUAUAAGGCUCCAACGUCCUACUGAUGGGAACCUCCGGAUUGUGCCAGCAGAUGUGAUUCCCACUCCCACACACUCCCACCCUCAACGAUCCUGCUCAUUUCUAUCCUGUUCAACCACCUGCCAUGGUUUGUGUUCGGUGCAAAAUUUGGGAUCAUCAGAAGAAUAAAAAGGACACUCAUACUCUGCUGUUUUCAUUAUUUAUUAAUAGGAGUGGGGACGGCCAUAUUGUUUCCAUUCCAAAGACAUAAAGAAAUAUUGUCCAUAUGAAACAGAGCAACCAGCAGCCAUUAAUCUGAGGACUUUCAAGUGAAGGAAGAUGCCUCCUGUCUUCAGGCAGAUAAAACAUAAAUACGUUCAAUUCCCCCGGUGAGGAGGAACCACUUGAUGGAAUAUGGCUGCCGCCUCCAUGUUUUGUUGUCAGUAGGGAAGCAGAAUUCUAAAUAAAGAUGUUCUCCUGUC